rnacentral:rRNA from 1 species
AUGGCGGAGACGGUGCUGAGCAUGGCGAGGUCCAUGCUGGGUGGCGCCAUUAGCAAGGCCGCCUCUGCAGCUGCCGAGGAGAUGAGCCUCCUCAUGGGUGUGCGCAAGGAUAUCUGGUUCAUCAAAGACGAGCUAGCGACGAUGCAGGCUUUCCUGGAGGCCGCUGAAGCAAUGAAGGAGAAAGACAUGCUACUCAAGGUGUGGGCAGAGCAAGUGAGAGACCUGUCUUACAAUAUUGAGGAUUGCCUUGGUGAAUUCAUGGUGCAUGUGGCAAGUCAAAGCUUGUCGCGGAAGCUGAUGAAACUCAAAGAUCGCCAUCGAAUCGCCAUACAAAUCCGUGAUCUCAAAUCAAGAGUUGAAGAGGUGAGCAGCAGAAACACACGCUACAACCUAAUCAAGACAGAGUCUUCGAGGACCAUUGACCAGGCAGAUUCCUAUAUGGAAGAUGUGCGCAAUCACUCGGCUAGCAACCUUGAUGAAGCAGAACUUGUGGGCUUUUCAAAACCUAAGAGUGAGUUGAUUAAGUUGAUGGAUGUCAACAAUACUCAAGAUGAUCUUGCCAAAGUGAUAUGUGUCGUCGGCAUGGGUGGUCUAGGCAAGACGACUCUUGCAAGGAAGAUAUAUGAAAGUAAGGAAGAUAUUGUGAAGAGAUUUGAUUGUUGUGCUUGGAUUACAGUCUCACAAUCAUUUUUCAAGAUGGACAUGCUGAAGGAUAUGAUCAAACAACUUUUAGGUGGUGAAUCAUUGAAGAAAUGCUUGAGUGAACUUGGAGGAAAGGCUCUGCGAGUAGAGGACCUUGCCAAGUUCCUCGUAGAAGAGCUAAAGGAUCAGAGGUAUUUUGUUGUUCUUGAUGACUUGUGGACCAUAGAUGCAUGGAGUUGGAUCAAAUAUAUUGUCUUUCCUAGUAGUAACAAGAAAGGAAGCCGGAUAGUAGUAACAACACGAGAUCUUGGUGUCGCUAACCAGAUUACUCUUGAGUCCCUCAUCUACCAUCUUGAACCCCUGGAAUUAGUUGAUGCCACAAAUCUUUUACUAAGAAAGAGUAGGAAAACACAUGAAGACAUGAAAAAGGUUGAAAACUUCAAGGACAUACUUGAACGACUAGUUAAGAAGUGUGGUCAUUUACCGCUAGCUCUUCUCACAAUAGGCGGCAUACUUGCAACUAGAAAGAUAGCAGAGUGGGGACUAGUUUAUAACCAACUUCCCUCAGAGCUUGAGACCAACAUUAGCCUUCAAGCAAUGAGGCGAAUUGUUACUCUCAGUUACAACCACUUGCCAUCUCAUCUUAAGUCAUGCUUUUUAUACUUAAGCAUCUUUCCUGAGGAUUUUGAAAUAAAAAGGAGUCUGGUAGAGAGAUGGAUAGCCGAAGAGUUUGUUAGAGCCAAGGAUGGAAUGCACAUUCAGGAUGUCGGUAUAAGUUACUUCAUCGAGCUAAUCAACCGUAGCAUGAUUCAACCCUCAAAGUUGAACAUAGAAGGGAGCAUUAAAAGUUGUCGAGUCCAUGAUAUCAUGCGUGAUGUCAUGAUUUCAAUUGCCAAAGAAGAAAAUUUUGUAUGCUUGGCGGGAGAUGAUGUAACUAGUGCCGAGGACAGUUUUCGGCAUGUAGCAUACCAAGGUAGCAAGUGCCAAAAUAUAGGCAUAGAUUGGAGCCAUGUUCGGUCAAUAACUGUAUUUGGUGACAGACCCAUGGAGCUAUCAUCUUCACUUUGUUCACCUGGCUUGAAGAUGCUU